AACGAACGCUGGCGGCGUGCUUAACACAUGCAAGUCGAACGAAGAGCGAUGGAAGCUUGCUUCUAUCAAUCUUAGUGGCGAACGGGUGAGUAACGCGUAAUCAACCUGCCCUUCAGAGGGGGACAACAGUUGGAAACGACUGCUAAUACCGCAUACGAUCUAAUCUCGGCAUCGAGGAUAGAUGAAAGGUGGCCUCUACAUGUAAGCUAUCACUGAAGGAGGGGAUUGCGUCUGAUUAGCUAGUUGGAGGGGUAACGGCCCACCAAGGCGAUGAUCAGUAGCCGGUCUGAGAGGAUGAACGGCCACAUUGGGACUGAGACACGGCCCAGACUCCUACGGGAGGCAGCAGUGGGGAAUCUUCCGCAAUGGACGAAAGUCUGACGGAGCAACGCCGCGUGAGUGAUGACGGCCUUCGGGUUGUAAAGCUCUGUUAAUCGGGACGAAAGGCCUUCUUGCGAAUAGUGAGAAGGAUUGACGGUACCGGAAUAGAAAGCCACGGCUAACUACGUG
rnacentral:rRNA from 1 species